CAGAGAUAAAGGACGGCUGCCGGUAGUUCCUGAAGAGGAAAUGCUGAGGAAGCUCCGUUCUCCCUUAGGCAACGGUACGGCGAAAGCUGUAAGGCGAGAGCCUUGCUCUGGGAACAGAAACGACACGCCCAGCGUCGAUAUGACGAUGAUGCAGUAGAGGGCCAACUAUCAGUUGUGUCCAAGCGUCGUGUUGGUAACAAUACGAUGGUUAACCUGUUGAGGAUGGCGUUGGAACCGUUGAAACGGUCCAUCACCGUGGGAGCAAGCCCAAAUAGGCCGCCAAUGAGGAGCCUACUGAGGUGGCGGGUAGGGUGCUUAGCUAGAUGCCGUCAAGCGAUUCAAGGCAACUUGAAUGGCUGAACAAAAGAUGGGCUAUUCUUAUUACUG
rnacentral:RNase_P_RNA from 1 species